CCGUGAAUCUGACAUUUCAAUACCUUCUUCAUGCUUCUCAUAUCAGAGAAGUUGAUCUCUUUAAGGGUUUUGUUAAUUGUUAGAUUCACGCACAAACUCGCAAUUUGUCUCCUCUUUCUUUUAUCUUGUUUAAUUUGCCUUUUUCAAUUGACCCUCUCUUAAUUUCAAUUGUAUUUUUCCUAGAUUUAAUUUGAUUACAAAAUUGGUUCUUUGAUUCAUUUUGGUUGGUGGGUUUUUAUUGUGAGUUUUAAUUUCAUGGAUUUUAUCUGUUCUUUUGGUAUUAAUUUGCUUGUUAUUGAUUAGAAAAAGAUGAUAGGAUGCUUCUUGAUUAUGAGCAACUAGAGAACAGUAGAAUUUAGAGUAGAGUGUAAUUUCUGUUUUGAACUAGAUUUAUAGUUGUAUGUAUUCCAUUAUAUGCUUAUUGAUUAUUGACCUUGCUGAGUUGCCGUUGAUAUUAUUGAUGAUGUAUAUUAAAUCUUAGUACUGUUGUGUUUACCCAUGUUCAAGUUCAGAUUGAGCUUAAUUUUCUUUUUUUCCUAAAAUUAUGGCAAAUUGAGAGAUUGGGUUUGAUGAUGUAUAUGAUACUGUCUUACUUAUGGGGUAUUUUUUGCUCAUUUGGAGAGCUUAAAUUGAGGAAAAAAAAUAAAAUAAAAUAAAAUUGGAUGAACCUGAUUUGUAGCAAAGGUGUGAUCUUGUUCAUGAACUCUCACUUAUGUCAUUGUGCUGAGAAUAUUUGUUUAUCUGAAUGUUGGAAAGAUUCUGAUUAUUUUAAGUAUGUUAAGGGUAAAGAUCAUUUUUCCUUUUGUGUCUGUUUUAUAUUUUGAAUUGCUCAUUGUUCAUAUAAUUUCUUCCUUGUACUAUUGAUUUCAAGUGAUGUGUGUUUGGGAGUUUAAAUCUAAGAAUUUUAGAAAAUGUUGCCAAUACCAUGGUCUUUAGUUGGCUCAUUGCCCUUUAACUUUUAGAAGUCAUGGUGUGUGUUGAGAUCGAGCUUGAUAAUGUGCUAAACUUACUUGGAUUUUGGGGUGAGGAUUGCAUUUAGAUAUAGGUGUGAGUGUAUGAUCUUAGUGUGUGUUAUGCAUGCUUAGAAUAUUGAGAUUAUAUGUGGAUUUUGUGCUGUGCAUGCUUAAAAAACUGAGAUCGUGGUCAUUGUGGUAUGCAUGCUUAGCAAAUUCGGAUUAUAUGUGGCUUUUGUGCUAUGGAUUCUUAGCAUAUUGAGAUUAUAGACUUUAUGUGAUGCAUUCUUUGCAAAUUGAGAUUGAGCCUGAUCAUGUAUAUGUUACUAUCUUACAUGAACUCGAGGUUAAAGAUUAUGGGUGUGAUUGUGUGAUUUCAAUCGUCAGGAACUCUUCUGUCUAGUUUUUACCUCCCUCUGUCCCUUUGAUUUUUGCACCAUGGACCCACUUUUUGGGUCAAAUGGUGCAUAAUGUAAGGGAUGGAGGGAGUAUUAGAGAAAUAGUUGCCUCACUUCCCCAGAGGCAGGAUUCAUACUAAGUGUUACUAUUUUAGGUUGUGUUGUAUAGCACCUAGUAGCAAUAUCACACAUUUUUACCUUCGAAAAUUAUCAUUUAGUAGGGCUUAUAUCAACAGCAAACCACACUUAUUUCCAUAUCUAGCAGCGACUCUGCUUUGCCUAUUUGCCUUCAUGCUUCACUCAUGAUAUAUCACAUUGACUUUCUUUAGAACAUUUUCUUCCUCUGUAAACGUACUUGUUUGUCAAGUGACGUAUGCUUGAUGAAAUACUUAAUUAAGUUAUUUUCAUGUUUCUUUUGAUGAGGUUAGUGCCCAAAUUAGUUUUAUAAAGCCUAUAGGAGGAGCCAUUUCUCAGUUUAAUAGGCCUCUUAUCUGAAAUGGCCAAGUUAACAUGUCAAUCACGCCUCAUUAGGCAAAUAAUAUUAUAUUAGUCAUCACUUGGUCAGGCAAAUAAUUGACUUUCUUCUCUGGAGUGCUAUAUUUUCGAGGUGCAUCCUGAUUUCGUAUAUGUUAGCUACGGCCUGGUGGUCAGGCCUGAUAAUUGUUAUAAGAACUAGAUUAACAAAAUUAAAAUGUUUUGAGCUGAUGAUUUAUGGGGAAAAGAUCCAUAUGGUGACCUAGAGGGAGAGCUAUGGUUACAGGGGUUACAUAUGUCCAUUGCUCCUACAACAGCUUAUGGAUGGGUCCGAUUGUUUGCCCCGAUUGGGAUAUGUUUACAAGUGAUCAUGUUUGUGCUAGCUUCCAUGCUGUCUCACAGCCAUUUGCUGAGGACCCAUCUAUGUGAGCGAAUCUCUUGGAUGCCAUGACUUUGAUCUCUUUAAGAAACUCAUUCACCUUGAUGUUACUAUCCCUAUAUGCCAGCACUUUGCCCUACCUAGUUCCUACCCGAGAUAGCUUGUUCAAGAGUCCUCUUUUUGACGACAAUAUUGUCCUCAAGAUUUGGAACUUCAAUAGUAUGCAGGGGUGAUUGGAGCAUUCAAUUGCCGAGGAUCGGGUUGUGAUCGGAAGGAGCAAAGGUUCAAGGCCUACAAGCAACAUUACAAGGCUAUAAAGGUUCAGUUCAUGUAAACAACAUAGAAUGGGACCAAAAGUUGGAAGCACUAGAAGUGGGCUAUGCUGAAGAAUAUGCAGUUUAUCUUAGCUAAGGAAAUUCUAUAUUUUUGAUGAACCAUGACUCUGAUCCCAUUGAACUUGACCUAAAAUCAUCUUCUUUUGAGCUUUAUAGCUUUGUAACAAUCAAGAAAUACAAAGGUAAUGUCAAAUUUGCACCUGUUGGUCUGACAAAUAUGUACAACAGGAAGGAACAGGGUUUUUCUUGGCUUAUUGAAAUUCAUGACCAUAUCAAGAUCGAAUUUGAUGUGCUUUGGCUUUGAUGAAAUUGGGGGUGUCUCUACAGUGAUUGUUCAAUUUUUGAUUUAGUUUAUGAUUUUGUAGACGAUAAUAAUAUUGUGCUUUCAUGUUAUAAAACUUUGUAUGAGGUGGACUUAUUGCAAUAGUUCAUCAAAAGAUUGAUGUUAUACAAAUACUUUAUUUUCCUCGGAAAA